GCCGGAGUGGCUCAGCCGGUUGAGCACCUGCCUUCAGCUCAGGUCAUGACCCCAGGAUCCUGGGAUCAAGUCCUGCCUCCGGCU
rnacentral:tRNA from 1 species